UCAAUACUUACUCAACAUAUUUUAGUUAAGCAUCAUGGUGCAGUGGACAGGACAAUGGAUUUCCAGUUGUAGUAUCCUGGAUCAACUCUCAGUCCUGGUUCAAAUCCAAGCCUUGUGUGACUUUGGGGUCCACUGUACCAGGUCCCAGUCCAUCUGAUUCCAUCUUCAAACCAAUAUUUUCUUCAUUUGCCUGCAAGAUUAGAUUGAGAGAGGAUAGACUGUUAUGUUGAAAUCAGAAUCAUGGAAUCAAUAGCUAUAUCUCCAAAAGAUAUAGCCUACAAUAACCAACAAAAAUCACAUGCUAAUGGAAGAACACAGCUGGAA
rnacentral:lncRNA from 1 species